UCCAAUUUAGAGAGAAAUUCCUACUCACAGG
rnacentral:piRNA from 1 species